rnacentral:rRNA from 1 species
AUUGAACGCUGGCGGCACGCCUAACACAUGCAAGUCGAGCGGCAGCGAGACUAGUAGCAAUACUAGUUGUCGGCGAGCGGCGGACGGGUGAGUAACACGUAGGAAUCUGCCCUUAAGCGGGGGAUAACCAAGGGAAACUUUGGCUAAUACCGCAUAAUCUCGAGAGAGCAAAGCUGCCCGCAAGGGUGGCACUUGAGGAGGAGCCUGCGUCCGAUUAGCUAGUGGGUGGGGUAAUGGCCUACCAAGGCGAUGAUCGGUAACUGGUCUGAGAGGACGACCAGGCACACUGGGACUGAGACACGGCCCAGACUCGUACGGGAGGAAGCAGUGGGGAAUAUUGGACAAUGGGGUCAACCCUGAUCGAGCGAUGCCGCGUGAGUGAAGAAGGCCUUCGGGUCGUAAAGCUCUUUAGGUUGGGAAGAAGGGUAUUGGCUGAAUAAUCCAGUACUUUGACGGUACCGACAGAAUAAGCACCGGCAAACUCUGUGCCAGCAGCCGCCGUAACAC